GGACAACCUCUGCAUUUUAACUGAGGAAAGCUGGAUGACUAUCUCAUUCUCUGAUGAUGGAGAAGAAUACUCACAACCUGCUCCCCACCUCCCACUGUGAAAUGCCAAUAUGGUGGAAACAGAAGGGAGAAGAAAGAACAGCGGAGACACUGAUCAUUCGAAACCAAAGAAGCAGCUCAUGCAUAAUGGAGAGCUAUCUGCAUGCAAAUUGCUAGGAGUACUUCCUACUUUUCUGGGAUAUUGUAUUUAGCCCUCUGUACUCUAUUCAGAAGAGUUCUGUUCCCCAGGCCAAGAAGGUAAAAUGUGGAUUGUACUUGAAUAGUCUUGUGAAUGAAAAAUGGCUAAAUUCUUUUUAUUAAGUGGAAUAAUCAAACUGGCAGAGUAAUUUCCCUAAAUUUAAAUUCCCAUUACAGAGAAAAGACACACUCUUGCCCACUUAUGGCCUCUGUUCUUUAUCACAUGCUUUCUCCCUAGCUGCAGAAGCCUAGAAGAACCUUGUUCAAUGGAUUGUCACAGAGAGAGCCGAAGGCAUGGCCACAGAAAGUAGGGCACAGGGAGAAGCUAACUCCCUAAUUUCUUUUUCUUUUUUCAGUUGAGAUAUACAUGAUGCUUUCUUGAUCUUUUGCUCUGUUUCCACCAGUUGUAUUAUAUAUGCAUAUAAAAUGUCCAUUUAAAAUACCAUACAGUUUGUGCCAGACUAGUCCAUUUUCACUAUCUUCUGAUCUCUCAUAGACAGAAUAUUAAAAUCCAAGAAGGAUUUAGCUCAGUGCACAUGUUGCCACUGGUAACCCAUGGUAAUAAGGUAACCCUAUAUAUUCACA
rnacentral:lncRNA from 1 species